GCCAGGAGCAGUGGCGCACACCUGUAAUCCCAGUAGCUCUGGAGGCUGAGGCAGGAGGAUUUCGAGUUCAAAGUGAGCCUCAGCACUUAGCAAGGCCCUUAGUGAGACCCUGUCUCUA
rnacentral:sRNA from 1 species